UACGGAGGGUGCAAGCGUUAUCCGGAUUCACUGGGUUUAAAGGGUGCGUAGGUGGGCAGGUAAGUCCGUGGUGAAAUCUCCAAGCUUAACUUGGAAACUGCCGUGGAUACUAUCUGUCUUGAAUACCGUGGAGGUGAGCGGAAUAUGUCAUGUAGCGGUGAAAUGCUUAGAUAUUGGGAAGAACACCGGUGGCGAAGGCGGCGCUCUGGACCGAGACUGACGCUGAGGCGCGAAAGCGUGGGGAGCAAACAGG
rnacentral:rRNA from 1 species